rnacentral:rRNA from 1 species
UACGAAGGGUGCAAGCGUUACUCGGAAUUACUGGGCGUAAAGCGCGCGUAGGUGGCCUCAUAAGUCCGCUGUGAAAGUCAAAGGCUCAACCUUUGAAAGCCGGUGGAUACUGUGAGGCUAGAGUACGGAAGAGGCGAGUGGAAUUCCUGGUGUAGCGGUGGAAUGCGCAGAUAUCAGGAGGAACACCAAUAGCGAAGGCAGCUCGCUGGGACGUUACUGACACUGAGGCGCGAAAGCGUGGGGAGCGAACAGG